AAUUUCAGGGUUUCAUAUAUCAAAGAGAUGAAAAAUUGGGGGAGGCGACCAUAAACCCCCGAAACCACACAAAACCCUAAUUCCGCCGCUGGGGUCGACAUAUCCUCUUGCUCCUUUCUGCUAUGAGUGCCACCACCGCCGAAAGUCGACGGGAGAGCUAACGGCUUGUGGUGUGGCACCAUGUGGAGAUACCCAGUUGGGUUCGGUAGUAAGGAGAGAAAUUCCCAAGGUGGGGUAAUAGCAAUGGUUCUCCGAUUUCGAGUCUGACGCCUACGACGGGUUUGAGGUUGUCGGUUUCUUUGCAGUGGAAGUUGCGAUAGCAGUUACAAGCGGCGCACUUAAGAGCGUCGAAUGUGCCGUCAGCACCAACGACGAGAAAUUCGCCUCAAUCGUCAAGGUCGUAACCUCCAAAUCGCUUAGGUGGUUGUUAUUUUAGAAUAAUAUUAUUAUAUUUAUGAUUUUUCAUUAUGAAGGAGUUUAUGUUUCGUCCAAUUGAGAACAAAUUCAUAUUUCCAUAUCCUUUCUUCAUUCUCUUAAAUUUAUCAUUAAGUUGGUCAUUUCGUAUUAGUUAAAAUGUGCUUGAAUUUGUGCAUACCUUCCUGGUUUUGGAAUUGAACACUCAGGGCAUGGCUUUGCUAGAUUGGCAUAGAACGUCACAUUUCUAUGGACAUUGUGGAGAAAGGACAGUCCCAAUGGAUGCUAGAAAAAGAAGGGAAUACUCCAAUUAGUCAUGUAAAUUGAGAAUUUUUCCUCGUGUCGAUCCUGUGAGAUCAUCGUCCUUUGCUUUUUUGAUUGUUGAAUCCCUGCAUAGUGAAAGCUAUAUAUUAAUGUCUCCGGCUCUUAAGCUUGUCAAUUGCAGGUCAUCAACCAGGAGAAUGACCAUGCACUCUUAAGCAGGCAAUCGAGAUAUGUGCUUGAAAAUGUAGUUGCUUAGUUGUUUUUAUGGAGCCUGGAGAAAAUUUGGAAGAAGUUGUGAUGUGAGAAACAUUGGAGGAGGCUGGUAUUGAAGUUGGAGAGGUGGUCUAUCACAAUUCUCAGCCAUGGCCAGUAGUUGGAAGAUCAAAUUCAAAACACGUCAAGAUCUGAGUAUGGUAGUUACUCCAAGAAUAAAAUCCGAAAGAAGCAAAAUUCAAAUAUUUGGGUCACAGAGAAAGAAGUUGUUAGUGCAUCAACCACACACGGGGAAGCUCGUACUCGCAACUUGAAUUGGAUGAAGUACGCGUGGAAUAUGGGCUAAAUAUUUAGGACGAUAUAUCUGAUGGACUUCUUAUAAAUUUUGUGUAUAGUCAUAUGGAAAUGCCCAAAACUUUUUUUGUAUAAAUGUUUUUUUUAGCUAUUAUAGGUUAUAUACUUAAAAAAAAUGUGUGGUGGAGGAUAGAAUUUUAGUCUUGUGAUUUUUGGAAUAUAUAACACAUAUAGAUUGGUCUUACAAUUGUGGAAUUAUCAUUUAUUGGGGUGGGUUGAUAGAGUAUAUACUAUUGUAUGAUUGGUUUUGUAAAUUUUGGAAUCCUUCAUAUACAUGGAAGGUAAUAGAAGAAUGGAAUUGUUUAUUUUAGUAUUGUGAA